rnacentral:rRNA from 1 species
GGCUCAGAUUGAACGCUGGCGGCAUGCUUUACACAUGCAAGUCGAACGGUAACAGGUUAAGCUGACGAGUGGCGAACGGGUGAGUAAUGCAUCGGAACGUGCCCAGUCGUGGGGGAUAACGCAGCGAAAGCUGUGCUAAUACCGCAUACGAUCUAUGGAUGAAAGCGGGGGACCGUAAGGCCUCGCGCGAUUGGAGCGGCCGAUGUCAGAUUAGCUAGUUGGUGGGGUAAAGGCCCACCAAGGCGACGAUCAGUAGCUGGUCUGAGAGGACGACCAGCCACACUGGAACUGAGACACGGUCCAGACUCCUACGGGAGGCAGCAGUGGGGAAUUUUGGACAAUGGGCGCAAGCCUGAUCCAGCCAUUCCGCGUGAGUGAAGAAGGCCUUCGGGUUGUAAAGCUCUUUUAGUUGAAAAGAAAGAAUCGCGAUUAAUAAUCGCGAUUUAUGACGGUAUCAACAGAAAAAGCACCGGCUAACUACGUG